rnacentral:rRNA from 1 species
CGAACCCGGAAGUUAAGCCCUUCAGCGCCGAUGGUACUGCAUGGGAGACUGUGUGGGAGAGUAGGACGCCGCCGGAC